UACGGGGGGAGCAAGCGUUGUUCGGAUUUACUGGGCGUAAAGGGCGCGUAGGCGGUCAGCACAAGUCAGUUGUGAAAUCUCCGGGCUUAACUCGGAAAGGUCAACUGAUACUGUGCGACUAGAGUGCGGAAGGGGCAACUGGAAUUCUCGGUGUAGCGGUGAAAUGCGUAGAUAUCGAGAGGAACACCUGCGGCGAAAGCGAAUCUCUGGGCGACUCCUGACGCUGAGGCACGAAAGCCAGGGGAGCAAACGGG
rnacentral:rRNA from 1 species